rnacentral:rRNA from 1 species
CCAGACUCCUACGGGAGGCAGCAGUAGGGAAUCUUUCACAAUGGGCGAAAGCCUGAUGGAGCAACGCCGCGUGCAGGAUGAAGGCCUUCGGGUUGUAAACUGCUUCUAUAAGCGAGAAAUAUGAUGGUAACUUAUGAAUAAGGAUCGGCUAACUACGUGCCAGCAGCCGCGGUAAUACGGAGGAUGCGAGCGUUAUCCGGAUUUAUUGGGUUUAAAGGGUGCGUAGGCGGACGCUUAAGUCAGCGGUAAAAUUGCGGGGCUCAACCUCGUCGAGCCGUUGAAACUGGGUGCCUUGAGUGGGCGAGAAGAAGGCGGAAUGCGUGGUGUAGCGGUGAAAUGCAUAGAUAUCACGCAGAACCCCGAUUGCGAAGGCAGCCUUCCGGCGCCCUACUGACGCUGAGGCACGAAAGUGCGGGGAUCGAACAGGAUUAGAUACCCUGGUACCA